ACUGCUCAGUAACACGUGGAUAACCUGCCCAAGGGUCCGGGAUAACCCCGGGAAACUGGGGAUAAUACCGGAUGGAUCACUUAUGCUGGAAUGCUUGGUGGUCGAAAGGUGACGCCCUUGGAUGGGUCUGCGGCGGAUUAGGUUGACGCCGGUGUAACGUACCGGCGUGCCUGUAAUCCGUACGGGUUGUGGGAGCAAGAGCCCGGAGAUAGAUUCUGAGACACGAAUCCAGGCCCUACGGGGCGCAGCAGGCGCGAAAACUCUACAAUGCAGGCAACUGCGAUAGGGGGACAUCGAGUGGCAUCCACCUUGGGUGCCUGUCCCACCGUCUAAAAAACGGUGGUUAGCAAGGGCCGGGCAAGACCGGUGCCAGCCGCCGCGGUAAUACCGGCGGCUCGAGUGGAGGCCGAUAUUAUUGAGUCUAAAGGGUCCGUAGCCGGCUUUGCAAGUCCCCUGGGAAAUCCAGCGGCUUAACCGUUGGGCUUUCAUGGGAUACUACAUUGCUUGGGACUGGGAGAGGUAGGAGGUACUCGGGGGGUAGGGGUGAAAUCCUGUAAUCCCCCGGGGACCACCGGUGGCGAAGGCGUCCUACCAGAACAGGUCCGACGGUGAGGGACGAAAGCUAGGGGCACGAACCGGAUUAGAUACCCGGGUAGUCCUAGCCGUAAACGAUGCCCGCUAGGUGUCACGGCGGUCGUGAAUCGCCGUGGUGCCGUAGGGAAGCCGCGAAGCGGGCCACUUGGGAAGUACGGCCGCAAGGCUGAAACUUAAAGGAAUUGGCGGGGGAGCAC
rnacentral:rRNA from 1 species